rnacentral:snRNA from 1 species
CAGCAGCAUAUAUUAAAAAAAAAAAAUUGGAAUGAUACAAAGAUUAGCAUGGCCCCUGCGCAAGGAUGACAUGCAGAUUCAAGAAGUGUUCCAUAUUUAA